rnacentral:rRNA from 1 species
UACGUAGGGGGCAAGCGUUGUUCGGAAUUACUGGGCGUAAAGGGCGCGUAGGCGGCACGGCAAGUCGGGAGUGAAAGCCCGGGGCUCAACCCCGGAGGGUCUUCCGAAACUGCCGAGCUAGAGUGCGGAAGAGGCAACCGGAAUUCCCAGUGUAGCGGUGAAAUGCGUAGAUAUUGGGAAGAACACCGGAGGCGAAGGCGGCUCACUGGACUGGUACUGACGCUGAGGCGCGAAAGCGUGGGGAGCAAACAGG